GACGAACGCUGGCGGCGUGCUUAACACAUGCAAGUCGAACGAGUGGCGAACGGGUGAGUAAUACGUGAGUAACCUGCCCUCUUUUUGGGAUAAGCCUUGGAAACGGGGUCUAGUACCGGAUCAAGGGGGAUGGGCUCGCGGCCUAUAAGCUUGUUGGUGGGGUGAUGGCCUACCAAGGCGGUGGCGGGUAGCCGGCCUGAGAGGGUGACCUGCUACAAUGGGACUGAGAUACGGCCCAGAGUGCAAAGGGAGGCAGCAGUGGGGGUGAUUGCAAAAUGGGCGAAGGGCCGAUGCAGCGACGCCGCGAGGGGGAUGAAGGCUUUCGGGUUGUAAACCUCAUUCGCGAUCGAAAGGGUAGGUGGAGAAGAAACGCCGGCUAACUACGUGCCAGCAGCCGCGGUAAUAC
rnacentral:rRNA from 1 species